GAGUUUGAUCAUGGCUCAGGACAAACGCUGGCGGCGUGCAUAACACAUGCAAGUCGAACGAAAUCUACAUGAUUUAGUGGCGAACGGGUGAGUAACACGUGAGAAACCUGCCUUACACAGAGGGAUAGCCGUUGGAAACGACGAUUAAUACCUCAUGACACCGUGACAUCGCAUGAUGAUGCGGUCAAAGAUUUAUCGGUGUAAGAUGGUCUCGCGCCUGAUUAGCUGGUUGGUGGGGUAACGGCCUACCAAGGCGACGAUCAGUAGCCGAUCUGAGAGGGUGGACGGCCACAUUGGGACUGAGACACGGCCCAAACUCCUACGGGAGGCAGCAGUGGGGAAUUUUGCACAAUGGGGGAAACCCUGAUGCAGCGACGCCGCGUGAACGAAGAAGGCCUUCGGGUUGUAAAGUUCUGUCCUUGGUGAAGAUAAUGACA
rnacentral:rRNA from 1 species